AGAGUUUGAUCCUGGCUCAGGAUGAACGCUAGCUACAGGCUUAACACAUGCAAGUCGAGGGGCAGCGGUAUCGAAAGCUUGCUUUCGGUAGCCGGCGACCGGCGCACGGGUGAGUAACGCGUAUCGAACCUGCCUCAUACUCGGGAAUAGCCUUGCGAAAGUAAGAUUAAUGCCCGGUGUUUUCAGAGUCCCGCAUGAGGCUUUGAACAAAGAUUUAUCGGUAUGAGAUGGCGAUGCGUCCCAUUAGCUUGUUGGCGGGGUAACGGCCCACCAAGGCAUCGAUGGGUAGGGGUUCUGAGAGGAAGGUCCCCCACAUUGGAACUGAGACACGGUCCAAACUCCUACGGGAGGCAGCAGUGAGGAAUAUUGGUCAAUGGGCGGAAGCCUGAACCAGCCAAGUAGCGUGCAGGAAGACGGCCCUCCGGGUUGUAAACUGCUUUUAGUUGGGAAUAAAACGGGGCUCGUGAGCCCCCUUGCAUGUACCAUCAGAAAAAGGACCGGCUAAUUCCGUGCCAGCAGCCGCGGUAAUACGGAAGGUCCGGGCGUUAUCCGGAUUUAUUGGGUUUAAAGGGAGCGCAGGCGGACCUUUAAGUCAGCUGUGAAAUACGGCGGCUCAACCGUCGAACUGCAGUUGAUACUGGAGGUCUUGAGUGCACACAGGGAUGCUGGAAUUCAUGGUGUAGCGGUGAAAUGCUCAGAUAUCAUGAAGAACUCCGAUCGCGAAGGCAGGCAUCCGGGGUGCAACUGACGCUGAGGCUCGAAAGUGCGGGUAUCAAACAGGAUUAGAUACCCUGGUAGUCCGCACAGUAAACGAUGAAUACUCGCGGUUUGCGAUAUAGUGUAAGCCGCCAAGCGAAAGCGUUAAGUAUUCCACCUGGGGAGUACGCCGGCAACGGUGAAAC
rnacentral:rRNA from 1 species